rnacentral:lncRNA from 1 species
UAAAGCCUAAUGUCUGUAUGUCUAUUUUUUUAUUUAGUAUUCAGAUACUUAGGUAGUUACCAUACAUCUAAAACUAAAGCAAAAAAUAGGUAGUUACCAUACAUCUAAAACUAAAGCACAAAAUUAUAUCUAACUAUUACAACCAUCUUACAACUAAUAAACUCAAAGAAAACACCUAUUCUAGGUUAUAAAGUACAAAAAAUCACCAAAAGGGUCAAAAAGUCCGAAAUUAGGGGAAAAAUUAAGAAUCACCGAUUGGUGAGAUCACUAAGUUGAUCGACUCAGCACUAAGCCGAUUUCCUCUAGGCUCUUGCUCAAGUCAAUUUCAUACAGUUUCCAAUCCUCUCUCGCCUAGAAGCCGAUUCACAUGCACAAAGAAUAUAAAAAAUGAUUAAUAUAUAAAAAACAAAAUAAAAAGCAUAAAAAUUGAAUAAAACAAAGCCAGAGUAUAUUAAAAAUAUAAAAAAACAAAGAUAAACUAACAAGAGAUAAAAACUUCACUUGGCAUUCCCUAGAACUAAUCAUGCAACCUUAAAUUCAGAUCUAAUCAUAUAAUCACAUGAAUUAUCAUAUAAAGGCAAAAUGAAUCUAACAUGUUAACCUAAUUAUUUAAUUCAUCAGAUUCAAAAUCAGAUAAAAAAUAUGUUAUCAAAUUUAAAAUUCUAUAUAGAUCAUGUUAUCAUAUUCAAAAUCCAGCAUGCAUAAACAUUGCAGAAACAUGUUAGACUAUUAAAAAAACACCCUAGAUCUAAAACAUAAAUCAAAUAGAACAUAAAAGAUCAAUCCUAAUCAUAUUUCUAAACAAACUAAAGAAAAAAAGAAAAAGA